rnacentral:lncRNA from 1 species
CACCGACGAGCGGACACCACACGAUAUCCAUGUAAUGGAACCCAUGUUUUGCUUGGGUGAUGUACGAAAUGACGUGGACGAUAUCGCUUGCCCAGUCCUUUGUCGCUGUUGAAACGUGGCAUGUUAUGGAGGCCGACAACUGGAUGGCCUGGUCUCCGUAUUCUACCUAGAAUAAGACGGCAGGAUGCUGAAAUUACCG